rnacentral:lncRNA from 1 species
GUAGAAGUAUUUAUUUGUUUCUGUCACGGGACCUUCGAUAUUGCGAAUUUGUUCUAGAUAAUUUUGAAAUCAUGUCAUUUAAGUAUGAUAUAAAUGUUAUGCAUGAUCACAUGGGAUAUGGUUUGAUAUUUCUUGUCCGAUGUGUUUUAUAUACCUUUAACACUGAGGAAAAUAAGCCCAUAUCUUCUGUAAACUAAGACCCCGAA